rnacentral:lncRNA from 1 species
GCGGAAGUGGGUCUUCGUGAGACGGUGGAGUCUUGCUUGAGCGGGUCUCCUCAGCGGCUGCUGGAUUAGGUGCGUCCUUGCUCGAGCGCGGUGGCCAAGGCGUUUGGCUGAUAACACCAACUCCAAGUAAGGAAUUUAGACAUUCUGAACAUCUAGUUGGCUCCAAAUUGUGAACCACAGGAUGAGUAUUCAGUGGGCAUGAGAGAUUGAGAACAUUCUACCACACCAUAAACCUUGGUGUAGAUCACUUCCUAUUCUGUGGAUUGAAGCCAGAGAGCACAAUGAGUACAAGAAAUCCUCAAAGAAAGCGGCGUGGUGGAGCUGUGAAUUCUAGACAAACCCAGAAGCGAACUCGGGAAACAACUUCAACCCCUGAGAUUUCCUUGGAAGCAGAACCCAUAGAACUUGUGGAAACCGUUGGAGAUGAAAUCGUGGACCUCACCUGUGAAUCUUUAGAGCCUGUGGUUGUGGACCUGACUCACAAUGACUCUGUUGUGGUUCCUUAGAAAGGAGAAGGCCAAGGAGAAAUGGGAGGAGGUUGCGCCAAGACCAUGCUGACAGCUGUGUGGUGAGCAGUGAUGAUGAAGAACUGUCUAAGGACAAAGAUGUAUACGUGACUACCCAUACUCCUCGAAGCACCAAGGAUGAAGGAACUACUGGACUUAGGCCCUCGGGCACCGUCAGUUGUCCGAUCUGCAUGGAUGGAUACUCUGAGAUUGUGCAGAAUGGGCGUCUCAUUGUUUCUACAGAAUGUGGCCACGUCUUCUGUAGCCAGUGCCUCCGUGAUUCCCUUAAGAAUGCUAACACUUGCCCAACUUGUAGGAAAAAGAUCAACCAUAAACGGUACCAUCCCAUUUAUAUAUGAAAUGUUCACAACUGCUCAGGAUAGACCAAUGGACAGACAACCGGGCUGGCUUUUCUGCAUGGUAUCUGCCUCCAGUUUCCUGAGCUCAAAAAGACUUUCAAAAAUCAAUGUCUGAUGUAAACUGGUCUUUUGUUUUCCAACCCCUUACAUCCUUUUGUUAUCUCCAGUUUGAUGCUAUGGAGCACGAUCCAGGGAUCCUCCCAGAUCAGCUCAGCAUCUCUGCCCCUCUGGGUGGUCUGAACCCAGAGUUGGAAAAAAGGAGUCAGGCAUAUUGCAGUUGAGCAUCAUGGCUCUAGCCUCUUUGUGGAGCUUAUGUGUUGGUCAAGAAGUUUCCCUGUUGGGAAAGUUUGCCCCAGUUCUUGUGGGUGCAGAACAUUCCCAAGGCACCUGCCAGUUAGCUAUUCUGCCUGCCAAACAGUGACCUGGCCAGACAGUCCAUCUAGUCCAAGGAUACCAGUACAUAAACUGCCCGUGAAACAGCCUAGCUGGUGGACUUAGUUUUCCUUCCCAUGAGAGCAGAGGUGACCUGUGAUUAUGCCUGAAACUUAUCAUUGAUGUGCAGUGUUUUCUGCAAAUCAAGAGACUCUGCAGGGCAACCUGUUUCCUAAGAAUGAGAAAGUGCAAUAAAGCCUGUUCUUCACUUGCUCUUCAGCAAUCUGGAAGAUGUAGCACUGCUAGUAUCCUCAGCCCAGUGUUGCCUGUGGGAGCAGUGCCCAUCCCACCCCAUCUCUAUUCACCAACUGUUCUCAGGAACCCUACCCAUGCUCCAAAGUUCUUUGCCUGGCACAGAGCAUUCAAAGCUAAUAGGACAAGCAAGUAUUUGAGUGUCUUUUCUUUUCUGCUAAGAUGUGUCCUGUGUUGUCUACAAUGCCCUCCAACCCUCAGUUUUUCAGUUCCCACUGCCUAAUGUCUGCCCAAGCAUAGAUACCAGGAGGUGGUAGCAGUAACAAUGGCCUUAUCAGCUGUUCACUUACAUGCUUUUGCCUAAGUCACUGUUGCCCAUGUGUCAGAGGUCUUGCCCUACUCAACCUACCACUGCCCUGGCUUUCCCACACCCCUUGAAUAGAUAGAUAUUUCCAAAGCUGCUCUUCUGGCCAGUUGAGCUUUGAUCCUCUGGACUUUGACUGCUCAGUAGGUUUUGGUCAGCAAAGCGUGGUGCCUCCUCUUCCCAGUGGGACCACAUAACAAUCUCUGCUCUGGUGCUCUCGGAGAUAGCAAAGGUGGUCAGUUGCCACUGGGGACACCAGGACAGGGUAGCUCAUAAAGGAUAGGAUAGGCUUUGAAUGCCAGCCUGCCUCCACCUCCACACUACUUCCUCAGAGGGCUUCAAGUCAAACCAAUAGCCUUUUUGUGUGGAACAUCUUUGAGGUAGGAAAGAGACCACUGGAGCUUUGCUAGCAAUAACUGACUUUCAGUUUACUGUUCUGAAGGAGCAGGGACUCAGCACAGAAUUCACUUUAAAUGGAGCUGAAGGAGUGUCCCUCCUCUCUGUGAAAAGAAAAUAGUUUUAUUCUUCAUUCUGACUUUUUAACUGUUUGACUUCAGUUAGUUUGAAUGAGAGUAAUAAGUUUUUUUACAUGGACUCAGAGGGUAAGAGCAUUAACUUUCAUCAUUGUGAUGUAUGGUAUGUGCCCUCCCCUUGGAUGUCACAGCCAUUGAGUUCCCCGAGGGCCUCAUGGACUUGAUCUUGUUAGUUCUAAUGAUAGCCAGACUUCAAGGAGACAAGGCAACCAUGCAGCCAGUUCACUGGUAAAUAUGGUGACACCCACUUAAAAAUUCGUUUUCUCCUUAAAGACAGUUUAUGAAGUUGAUCAUAAAAGUUCUAUUACUUCAUCCUAAAUUAAAUUGAGAAAGAGACAUGUUUAGUUCUAAUCAGAAACUGCAUUAAUAGGAAAAGGUUGGUAUAAAAAAAGGUUUUCUUUCCUUUUUCCUUAAUGUAUAUAGUUUAACUCUUUUCUUUGUUACAUUUAAACUAUGCUCAUGGGUAUCAGUCUGUUUUGGACUAGUAUUAAAGAUGGAAAUAAACAAUUUGAACCAAGU